rnacentral:rRNA from 1 species
CACGUAGGGGGCGAGCGUUGUCCGGAUUUAUUGGGCGUAAAGAGCUCGUAGGCGGCUCGGUAAGUCAGGUGUGAAAACUCUAGGCUCAACCUAGAGACGCCACCUGAUACUGCUGUGGCUAGAGUCCGGUAGGGGAGCAUGGAAUUCCUGGUGUAGCGGUGAAAUGCGCAGAUAUCAGGAGGAACACCGGUGGCGAAGGCGGCGACCUGGGUGGAUACUGACGCUGAGGCGCGAAAGCGUGGGGAGCAAACAGG